GCGCGCGUAGGUGGUUCGUUAAGUUGGAUGUGAAAGCCCCGCCCUUAACCUGGGAACUGCAUUCAAAACUGACGAGCUAGAGUACGGUAGAGGGUGGUGGAAUUUCCUGUGUAGCGGUGAAAUGCGUACAUAUAGGAAGGAACACCAGUGGCGAAGGCGACCCCCUGGACUGAUACUGACACUGAGGUGCGAAAGCGUGGGGAGCAAACACGAUUAUAUACCCUGGUAGUCCACGCCGCAGACGAUGUCAACUAGCCAUUGGGAGCCUUGCGCUCUUAGUGGCGCAGCUAACGCAUUAAGUUGACCGCCUGGAGAGUACGGCCGCAACGUUAAAACUCAUAAGAAUUG
rnacentral:rRNA from 1 species